rnacentral:rRNA from 1 species
CCUACGGGGGGCUGCAGUCGAGAAUCAUUCACAAUGGGGGAAACCCUGAUGGUGCGACGCCGCGUGGAGGAAUGAAGGUCUUCGGAUUGUAAACCCCUGUCAUGUGGGAGCAAAUUAAAAAGAUAGUACCACAAGAGGAAGAGACGGCUAACUCCGUGCCAGCAGCCGCGUGAAUACAGACGUCUCAAGCGUUGUUCGGAAUCACUGGGCGUAAAGCGUUCGUAGGCUGUUAGGUAAGUCGUGUGUGAAAGGCGCGGGCUCAACCCGCGGACGGCACAUGAUACUGGGAGACUAGAGUAGUGGAGAGGGGAAGCGGAAUUCUCGGUGUAGCAGUGAAAUGCGUAGAUAUCGAGAAGAACACUCGUGGCGAAGGCGGGUUCCUGGACAUUAACUGACGCUGAGGCACGAAGGCGAGGGGAGCGAAAGGGAUUAGAUACCCCUGUAGUC